UACGAAGGGGGGCUAGCGUUGUUCGGAAUUACUGGGCGUAAAGCGCGCGCAGGCGGUUCUCCAAGUCAGUGGUGAAAGCCCGGAGCUCAACUCCGGAACUGCCAUUGAAACUGUUGAACUUGAGGACGAGAGAGGUGAGUGGAAUUCCCAGUGUAGAGGUGAAAUUCGUAGAUAUUGGGAAGAACACCGGUGGCGAAGGCGGCUCACUGGCUCGUUUCUGACGCUCAGGCGCGACAGCGUGGGGAUCAAACAGG
rnacentral:rRNA from 1 species